rnacentral:rRNA from 1 species
GUGGGGAAUCUUGCGCAAUGGGCGAAAGCCUGACGCAGCCAUGCCGCGUGAAUGAUGAAGGUCUUAGGAUUGUAAAAUUCUUUCACCGGGGACGAUAAUGACGGUACCCGGAGAAGAAGCCCCGGCUAACUUCGUGCCAGCAGCCGCGGUAAUACGAAGGGGGCUAGCGUUGCUCGGAAUUACUGGGCGUAAAGGGCGCGUAGGCGGACAGCUUAGUCAGAGGUGAAAGCCCAGGGCUCAACCUUGGAAUUGCCUUUGAUACUGGCUGUCUUGAGUUUGGGAGAGGUGAGUGGAACUCCGAGUGUAGAGGUGAAAUUCGUAGAUAUUCGGAAGAACACCAGUGGCGAAGGCGACUCACUGGCCCAAUACUGACGCUGAGGCGCGAAAGCGUGGGGAGCAAACAGGAUUAGAUACCCUAGUAGUCC